rfam:Madurella mycetomatis strain mm55 MMYC01_Sc2316, whole genome shotgun sequence.
GGCAAGAUGGCCGAGCGGUCUAAGGCGCUGUCUUCAGGAUUCUGAUUGGCAGUCCGAAAGGGCGUGGGUUCGAAUCCCACUCUUGUCA